AUUAGAAGUAGGAGCACAAGGGAUUGACUUUGACUUUGAAAUCUCCAAUGAAAAUGUGUGCUGAUUUGGAAAUAAUUGGAUAGAACUGUGAAAAAAACUUUCAAAACCUAAAGUUUUUUAAUAUUUACAGAUUGUGAGAGAUCACAGAGAGAGAUGCUGUCACGUAUACUGCCAAUUGGGCUAUUCAAGCAAUAAGAUGACGAAGAAUUUGACAGAGGGUAUUUUUGUACAUUGUGGAACAUUAUUGAAGCAUCAAAGAGCAGUAUUAUGCAGAUUUAUGCAGUUUGGGUUUUAUGGUGGUGGUACUCGAACCACAGGUGCAACAUGUCUUUCGCCAUCACAGUUCGCCACAGAGCCAUACUCAAGAACAAUAGUUUCCUGUCUUAUUUCAGCUCUUUAUGAGCACUAUGGAUAUACAUAGAUGCCCUCUAUCAGAG
rnacentral:lncRNA from 1 species